GGGAAAAGUCUCCUCCAGUUCAUCUCACCUACAUAGAGUAAAGAAAGGUCUAUGUCCCACUGAGUUUAUGCCCUCAUUUUACACUGUGAGUUGUCAACUUUGAAAAACAUAGAAGCACUAAAAUGGUCAGAAAAAACAAAUCUUUAAUCAGAUUAAAAGGUCAGAACACAUACUAUUUGAUCUUUUGGUCUUCUUAGAAGCUUCAAAGAACUCAAGGAGGACAGCAAGCCUUUAGAGAGCCUGGAUAUAUCUCAGAAAUUGGAGUUCAAAUAUACUACAUCAAGAAUGACUUUGCCUUGUAAGUCUUUAUCCCUACUCUGUAAGUGUCUUUUUUUUUUGCAUUAAAAAUUGUCAAUGUUGAUGAU
rnacentral:lncRNA from 1 species